rnacentral:pre_miRNA from 1 species
GGGGGGAGCGCUGGAUCUUGGGCUGUGUCCCCGGCACCCUGUGCUCCCAGGCCUGUGCUAUUGGAAUCAUGCUCCAGGAUGUGCAGCCCCCU